UACAAAGGAGCCAAUGGGACCUUUCGUCCUUCCGCGCUACUCAUUAUCGUGAUUGCAUCGUGGUUCAUCUGUCUCUAAUGACGGCCAUUUGUGCAGCACAAGCGAUGUGUUUAUUACGCUCCUGCCUGAACAGAUUUUCGUACAGAGUCAGGUAUAACCCUCACCUGUGUGGGAACAAUCCUGGUGUUUCGUGACAUCACAGUUUUCUGGUCCAAUCACACUGACCGAGAGAUCUACUACCUGUCAUCACCGUGGAAACGCCGAUAGAGCGGGAAGAGAGCAGAGGGCAAGAAUAUUUCCUGCACCACACCUCUGACCCCACCCCUGGGACCAGCAUCACUGCUCUGACUGGUCAGACCAAAGGGUCACUGGAAGCAGGGUGACAGAACAGGCUUUUCAAUUAGAGUGAUUUAUUGCGGUUGGAUAAUGGAUUUACAAUAACCAAAGCUCUGAUGGCAUGCAUGUGUCGGCUCAGUGGGAUCACUCAGAGACAUUGUUGUUUGUUCUUGUGCUGAAGACACUUCCUCCUAAUUAAAAAAGAGUUCCUGCUGCCCCCGACAGAGAGCAGACACCAGGAGACACUGCCAGCUUGGUGCCUUCAGAAUUUUUCUGUGGAAAACAAAAGCAAAGAAGAGGAAUUUAUGCUGAGAUUUGGGAUGUGACCCCCUCAGGGCAGUCCCGUGAGCUCUGGAGUCAUUAGGGGUGACUGCACCCUGGCGAAAGAUGACAAUGACCAAACCGUGAGAAAGUAUUAUUUUAAAAAUGACUGAUUAUUCCACAUUUUGCUGAUUAUAACGAAUGUUUACUGAUUACAGCCCUAUUAAGGAAAUGAAUCGGGUGGUUGCUGGUUUGAUUCCUAGGUUAGCUGUUGCACCUUUUAGUUUGUAACCCACAUUUUUUCAGUAAAUAUAUCCAAAAG